UGAGGAAUGUCAGGCAACCAUCAGGUG
rnacentral:piRNA from 1 species